rnacentral:pre_miRNA from 1 species
GAGCUUAUUCAUAAAAGUGCAGUAUGGUGGAGUCAGUCUGUAAUUUUAUGUAUAAGCUGGUC